GCGGGAAAGGACCCCCGACGUUCCGCUCCGGGCCACGGCGGGCAAGCGGGCGGGCGCGCGUUUCUGGCCAGCCAUGGCGUACUCGACGUUCCGCAAGGUGGCCCUGGCCUCUUGCUUGGUGCUGUGCGUGUCGCUACUGCUGCCCAAGGUCUUCCUUUCGCGGGGCUGGAGGCAGCCGGAGCCCAGCGCUGCCCCCGCCGCGCCCGAGGGAAAGACCAGUCCGUUUCCUCCAACAAUGCAUCCCCAUAUGUCUCCAGAAACCAGACCACCCACUACCCAUUUCCCAAGGUCUCAUCUUGCGGAAGCAGUUGCAAAGGCCAAGGGUGCAGGUGGAGGAGGAGGCGGUGGAGGCGGCAGCGGAGGCGGAGGCGGCAGUGGAAGAGGUCUUGUAGGACAAGUCAUCCCAAUAUAUGGAUUUGGGAUCCUUUUAUACAUAUUGUACAUUCUUUUUAAGCUUUCUUCUAAGGGGAAAACCACAACAGUUGAGCGGAAAUGUCCUCCGUCGUCAUCUGGAAACACAAACAGGAAAAUCACUGACUAUGAGCUUGCCCAACUUCAAGAUAAGCUGAGAGAGACUGAAGAAGCCAUGGAGAAAUUAAUCAAUAGAGUGGGACCCAACUGUGAAAGUCGGCCCCCAAACGUCACGACUGAUCAAGAGAAAAGGCUACUUCAGCAGCUCCGAGAAAUUACGAAGGUCAUGAAAGAAGGCAAACUCAUAGAUGGAAUCUCCCCAGAGAAAGAAGCUGAAGAGGCUCCAUAUAUGCAGGACUGGGAAGGUUAUCCAGAGGAGACCUAUCCUGUCUUUGAUAACUCUGACUGCGUCAAGCGCAGACAGGACACAAUCCUUGUGGAUUACCCUGACCCCAGCCAGCCUUCAGCUGAAGAGAUAGCAGAGAGAAUGGCGUUUGUGGACGAUGAGGAGUGUUUAUGUAGUGAAACCGUUUUGUCUGCUCUCGCUAUAGUGAACAGUGACCCUGCAGCAGCCCACGAGGCAGAGGACCAGCACGCCACACUCAGCGACCAGAGUGGCGCUGGCCAUGACCCUGAGAAGUGCUACUGCUGCCACUUCGAAGAGGACGACCCUGCUGUGAUAGCGGAGAAUGAGGGCUUCUACCCCGAGAGCGGCGGUGAAAUGGAAGAUGCCGUAGCCCAGGAGGAGCUGCUGCUGGAUUCCGACCUCGAAAAUGCAGCACCCCAAGAGCAAAACGAGGGAAAUUCAGACGAAAUGGGCAUUCUGAGGAAGCGAAACACGAAGGGCAUAGCUUUGCUGGGACACUGAGGAUCAAACACGGAAGGCUAUCUCCCCUUCUAAAAACUGGGAUAAACAGCUGCUUGCAAGACAAAGGCUUGUCUCCGUCGUUGCAUACCCAGCUACUGCAUAUCCUUUGCAUUUGCUGCUUAUUUGGAUCGAAAACUAGUAGUACCCCCUUACCCCCCACAAGUUUAUCAGCCUGGCCACUUCAGCAUCAACUGCCUUAGAAUCACAGAAUCAUAGUUGGAAGGGACCCGAGGAUCAUCUAGUCCAACCCCCUGCAAUGCAGGAAUCUCAACUGAAGCAUCCAUUACAGAUGGCCUCCAACCUCUGCUUUAAAGCCUCCAAGGAAGGAGAGUCCGCUGAGAGGGUCCACCCUACUGUUGAACCGCUCUUAGCGCCAGAAAGUUCUUAGUCGGAAUCUCCUUUCUAGUAACUUGAAGCCAUUGGUUCGGUUCCUACCCUCCAGAGCAGGAGAAAACAAGCUUACUCCAUCUUCCAUACGACAACCCUUUAGAUAUUUGAAGAUGGCUAUCAUACGUAUUCUCCUCUUAUUCAAGCUAAGCAUACCCAACUCUCUCAAUUCUUCCUCAUAAGGCUUGGUUUCCAGACCCUUGCUUGCUAUAGACUCCCAAGGCAACUAAAUCAAGAUAGCUUCUCGUUGUGCCUUCUUUCAGCCUCUCCUCCUGUCAAAAGUAACCCAGUAGGGAAUUUUCCCAGGGUAUUUCUAAAACCUUCACCAAUGUUAACCAUUAGUCAGGUUGAGGCAGCCUGUUUUAGAUACCCUUAAAAGGGCAGCACAUAAUCAGUUUUUAUAUUUGAUUAUCAUAUUUGAUUUACGUAAAAUAGUUGGAGUUUAAGUUUUUGCCCCUGUCUUGGGUGGUCCGCAGACCCAAAUCCUUCAUGCUCCUGUAAUGAGGAAAUCAUAAAGUGAAAGGGGUGUCUUAAUGCCAUUCCUUACAUGCAAGUGUUAGUUGAUUUUCUUGGCUGAUAAGCACAAGGCAUUUCUGGGAAAUUUAGGGGCAAAUCUUAAUACCGUCCACUGCCUAGCAGGACUCAAUGGAGAUGGGGGGCCAGUGCUGUAUCCGCAGCCCUGCUACAUAUUGUGGCUAGGGUGGAUAGCGGGGGAGGCAAGCAGAUCACUGUGCCAGCCUGGAGCUGGCACAGCAGCGAGGCACUGAUCUGGCAUGAUGCUGCUAUCUGACAAACAUGGUGCCAGCUCUGGUUCCAACUGAUCCCAGGCAGGCUCAGCCCCUGGAAUGCCCCAUUGCAAAGCCCUCCACUGGCUGUUGCUGCUGGGGAUCCCAACCAGUGGCACUUCUGCCUGCCGAGAUCUUUGGCAGUCAGAAGGGUGAUGUCUGUACUGAUGGAGUGAUGCUUGCAACCAAGUUGGCAGAGACAGGUGGGACACUGUGGGUGGAGGGGAAGCUUCUGCCCAAUCCAACCUUUCCCCCCAGCCUGGUGCAAGGGUGUGUGUGUGUGUGCCAAAUUAUCUCUUUUUUGUUGUAUCAACAAAGAACAGGGUUUCUUUUUCUAGGUCACUUGUGGAAUGAGCAAUCCAUUUCACCUCGCCUGUGGCUCAAGGCUUACUUACCACGUGAUCCCACAUGAACUUCAAGGCCAACUCUUUCAAAAUGCACUCACAGUUAAAGUGUGCUUGUGUGCAACCAAAACGCAAGGGCACGAUUUUUGGAGGAGAGCAAAACAGAUGACCAAUAUACUUCGUUUGACAGAUGAAUUAACAGCCUAUUUUAAAAAAAACCUGCUUCACUUGCCCAAUGAAAUCACAGAAAGAAAGGGAUUUCCAGGGAUCAAAGCAAACAGAUGAAGAUGCCAAGCACCAUAACACACCUUUUCUGAGGCCUAAAAUUACAUGAGUAGUUUGUCUCCAUAUUUUUCUUUUUCUACUAAAAGUUUUAUAAUUUCUUUUGAUGUUGCAAUUAUUUAUGAAAGCACCAUUUAUUUAUUUAUUUAUUUAUUUGUUUGUUUUAUUAUGUAAGUAUUUAUAUAGCACUGUGUUGUUAAAUAUCACAACAAUCCGAACACAAUAAAACACAACUAUAAGCCGUACAAAAACGACUGGUCAAUCGAUAACACUUAAAAAAACCACUUGUUGGCAUACAGGGGUUGUUUGGGGGGCUCUUUUCCCUUACAAGAGUUUGGGUUUAGAAGAGAUGCUGAAGGCACAAGAAGGAUCAAAUUCUCCCAUGUCGGCUUUUCACAGCCCAAUCCCAUGCAGGUCUACUGAGAAGCAGCAGUGGCUUGAAGGAAGUGGGAAGGGGGUACAGUGUUGUCACUGGGAUGAAGCAGGACAAGGUGGCGAUGAGGUUGGGGAGCUCCAGCGGUGCGCAGGUGCACACACACUUAAGGGGCCAUCGCCUCCACCCUUGUCAAUGAUCACCCUGCUUCAUCCCAGUGAGCUCACUGCUGCCAAGAGGGCACCGCUCCCUUGGCCUACUCGCCUGUAAUGGGCCACUGCUCAGCUCCAGGGUUUGCUCCCGGGAAAUUGUGGUUAGUAUUGUAGGCAAUUGGGUGCAAUCCUGUGUUUUGUCUGCUCAGAAGUCAGUGCCAGUGAAUUGAGUGAGACUCGACUCCAAAGAAAUGUGUAUAGGAUUGUGGCCUUAGAGUGGAACUCCGUGUUGUGCUGUUACAACCGUCUGUGCAAGCACAUCAGCUUAUAAGAAGGUAUGAUCUCUUCCUCCUUCCCCAUGAGCUGUUCUGGGGAUUCUCACAAGAAGCCAGUUUCAGGGAUUGCAGGGAAAGGAGAGGGGAGAAGGCCCUGUUGUGCAAGUGAAAAGUUCAUUAGAUGAAUCCUGUCCCAUGUAUGUAACAUAGUAGGCAUACCGUCCAUUGAAACAUCGUGCAGAUGUAACUAUCCAGUAGAUUGCGAGGAACUUCUCUUGAAGGUGACUCCAUAGAGCCACUGUGGCUAAUUCAAAGUAUGUUUGUAUUGUAGGGUACAUGGAGAAUGUCAACAGCAGCACUUAUAAAAUGGGAGGAAUGUAAGGAGGGUUAAUUUUGGCUGGGUUUUUGUUGUUGCUGUCUACCUAUUCUGCAGCAGGAAAGAUUGUAUGUGUAGGUUGUCUUACGUUUGUGGCUUCUGCUGCUAGAAGGUCUGCCUUUUGGCAACUGUACUGCUUUAAUAACUAGGGACUGAAAUGUCAGAUAUGCCUGGCCAGCAGAAACGCUUCUGUAUUAUCAGUUUCUGUUCCAGGAAUAAGGGACUUUGGUCAUUCCAGUUCUCCAAGACUUUAGCAAAGAUCUGUUUUAGUGAAGUUCAGCACCAUUUCAUGGGUCAUGUUGUACAUUACACAAACCUGCUUUGAAAAUACGGUAGUUUGCAGCACUAAGUGAAUGGAAAAUACCAGAGGAAAUUUGAAAUUUCACAGUCAAAUCCUUCCUUGGAAUGCAGUCAUAGUGAAAUUCAGCUGGGAAACUUUUUAUAUCUGUCCAAUGCACAGAUGUCACAUGGGCCAGGAAGCAGGAAGGGGAAAGCAGUUAUGGUGAGAAAAGGGAGCCAUCUUGGAGCCACAUGAAACCCUUUCCAUAUACCCAUCUGCUGACAAACCUCUACAUAUACGCAAUAAAAGCCACACUAUCCUUGUGUGCUGCAGAGAGACGAGCUACUUUGUUGUCGGGUCACUGAAGGUCAUGUCAGCAGACCCUCUGAAGAGUUUCACCAGGUGACUAGUUGAGGAUGCGACCGAGGAUGCCAAGUAGACCUUCACCGCCUGCGCCAUCUUAUAGUACGUAUCAUUAUGUGCACUACGUUGUGUUCAAUCAACUUCGUAGCAGGCCUUGUGCCACUCAUGCUCUAGACAUUAUUUGGCCUGUUUCAUUGCCAUCAAGGGCCUCAAUUGGAUGGCCAGCUCUAGCCGCUGGGAAAUCCCUGCCCCCUCAGAGCACAUAGGCAGGCAUCCAUUGGAUAAAGUUAGUUUCUGGGGGCAGACUACCCAAAGAGGGGUCACCCACUCCUGCAGGGAGGAAUUGCUGUUGUAAACCCAAUGGCUAUGACUGCAAAGCUUAAUUGAGCAGAAGUGUGGUUAUUUUUAGCAAGCCAUCCAUAAAUUUAAAAGGUGCUCUUGAUAAACUGGACAGAAGAUUUUAAAAAAUAAGUAUAUGCUUUGGUGGUAUUUUUAUGCAUUGCGAUUUGCUGUUAUUUUUAUUGAUGAUUAGUAAUUCUUUAUUGUAAUUGAAAAGUGUAAACUGUUUAAUUCUUAUUUGCUGCUGUUGAAGUUUAUUUAAUAUUUUAUUUAAUAUUGCUUUAUUUGAUGUAAGUUGUUUAUUUUAAUGUUACUGUGACAUUUUUUAUAUUGGAUCAGACUGUUACUAUUAAUGUUUGAUGUUUUAUUAUAUUUUUAUAUGUUUUGGCAGCCACCCAGAGUGGCUGGGGCAUCCCAGUCAGCUGGGCACGGCAUAAAUUAAAAAAUAUUAUUAUUAAUGCAGGUGGCAAGCAUCAAUCUUAAAAGAGACACUUAGCAUUUACUUCCAUUCCACAGAAUGCUUCUUCUAAAGAAGAAUAUGAAAAGUUAAACCAGGAGGGGUUGGAGAAGGAAUAAUAGCAGAAAAGGAGGUGAACUUUUAUUUCUUUACCCUCACCCCCCCCCAACAGGAGCCCACCUACAGCCUAAGGCUUGGGUGCCCACAGGGACAGGGAUGUGCAUAAAAGUGAGCCAUGGAAUCUGUUUUCCUUUCCUAACAAAGAUGACUGCUUUAGUUUGCAACGCUGUGUGCACCUAUUGGGCCAUUGAACCAAGUGGGAAUGAACCUUUCAGUAAGUGUGCCUCGGAUCUGUGUGCAGGGCAACCUAAUUCUCUAAUGGACUACCAAAUAUGUGGGGCCUUCUGUAGUUUUUACUCUGUCGGAAUAAUGCAAGUCGACUGAACUGACAGGGACCUGUUUCUGCGUAAACAUGGUUAGGCUUGUAUUAUGAAAGUACCUUCAACUAAGCACCUGCUUGUGCCUCUUUUCUUUUGGAGGUGAUUGAAACUCUAAGUCAGAUUUGUAGAAAGCCAACUACGCCAAGAGUGUCAUCCCAUGCUUGCCUGCUCCCUAGUAUAUUUAGGGUGGCAGCCUCUGGAUAGGCAAGCAGUUGCAACCUUUAUUAAUGACAGCCCUUGGAGUAAU